UACGUAGGUGGCAAGCGUUGUCCGGAAUUAUUGGGCGUAAAGCGCGCGCAGGCGGUCUUUUUAAGUCUGAUGUGAAAGCCCACGGCUCAACCGUGGAGGGUCAUUGGAAACUGGGAGACUUGAGUGCAGAAGAGAAGAGUGGAAUUCCACGUGUAGCGGUGAAAUGCGUAGAGAUGUGGAGGAACACCAGUGGCGAAGGCGACUCUUUGGUCUGUAACUGACGCUGAGGCGCGAAAGCGUGGGGAGCGAACGGGG
rnacentral:rRNA from 1 species